UAUUUCUUGCAGAAUGAGUUUUUUUUAAAAAAAGAAAAAACUCUUGUUUACCUUUUAUUAAAAGGAACUCAAUGGUUCAGUAAAAUAUCUUAGGAUUUUGUGUUUGUGGCUUUUUAUAGUUAUGUGGUUACAUGCCUUUUGUCCCAUAGAUCAUAUGGCUAGUUCUCCAGCUGUUUUUUAUUUAUUGUUUUUUAAUAAACCUUGCCACUCAACAAUCAGAUAUAUUUUGGAGGCUUCUUCCUGUCAAAGUAGAAAGGUUUUAGGUAAUAGGAAAGGCAGAUGCAAUGUCCUACAUUUUCAUAGUAGAGCUUACAAGUGAAAGAAUUUAUUCAAAUAGGUUAUCUUCACUGUGUAGCACCAGUAAAAGUAGUGGUUUCAUUCAUCAUUGAAUGUGAUAAAGCAGUUUUAAGUCAUUUCCUACUUAGCACUAAAGAAUUUUGUCAUUUCAGGCCACAUUAUUAUUUUCUCUGAGUAGUUUUCCAUUGUAAGGUUGAAUAUCUUUUUAUUUAUAUCAUCACUAAGGGUUAAGAUAAUCAAAUAGGAAUUAAAAUGUUAUACUUGAUCUUUUUUCCCUGAAAAUAAUGGUGAACCUAUUGUCUAUAUUAUGGAUAUUAGGCAGAAAUGCACUUGUUUCGAUCAUAGAAGAAAUUACAUUUGGAAAAUAUAAUUAUUUGAUUUUCUAGUGGUGUGAAAUACUUUUUAAAAAUUGUGCUUGUCUGUAACUGAAAUGUUAUAGAAUUGUACACUAUAAGGAUUCUAGAGUUAUAUUUAUUAGCUCUCUUUGAGAGAUUGAAGCACAAUAAUUUUCACAUAACCGUACUUACCAAGUGCUGCUAAUCUGUUGUGCAAAUGAUGAAACUAUUUGGUUGCCUAUCUAGCUAUUCACAAAUCACUGUAAUCCUUGAAAUGUAGUCUUGUUGCUCAUCUGUAUUAAAUUUUGGGUAUUGUGGGUUAAUACUUUAGAACAAAAUCCAUCAGCUCAGCUCGGUGAGCGCAACAAACCGUUUGGAUUCACUAGUUUUAUAUGUGUUCUCAAUAGAAUUACAUUUGAAGGGGCUAUUUACUACCAGUGACUAAGGGGGAAAAUUACAUUGUCAAUAUCAUUUGACUUGAACAAUUGUGGCAUUGUAAAAGUCUUACCUGUUGUGUUUCUAAAUUGCUUAAGCCAUACAUACUCUUAAGGAUUUUUUUAUUGUGUUCCUUCUCAGCAGCAUUUUUCUGCUAUGUCUGUUAUGGUUAAUAUGUCAUAGAUUUUAGAAAUUAAGAAGUUACCAAAACAUUUUAUUUUCCUGAUCAUCACUUUUGACUCUUGUGUGAUAUGUGAUUUGUCAUAAAGGAUAGCAAGCCUUCUACUACUUCACUAAAUGAAUUUCAGAGUAAACACUGUGAUUCUGCAGAGGAUUCAGUAGGCCCUUGUUUUUCCAAUGUUUUCUUCUGUUACAUGGUGCCUACCACCUUGAGGGGCACUUAAAUACUAGAGGAUGAAGAGUUAAACAUUGUUUUGAUGUUUAUUGAAUAAGAUUACAGAAGAUUUGAUUUUUGUCAUCAGUGUAUUGAAGACAUUUUUGCAUUGAUAAAUGUUCUCUCUAGGAAUGUGAUUACAUUCAUCAGAUGUGAACUCUUGUAAAUGAAUUUUGUAUCUUGAAUUCACAUAUAUAUUAAGUGUAU
ensembl:lncRNA